AUUGAACGCUGGCGGCAUGCCUCACACAUGCAAGUCGAACGGUAACAGGUCUUCGGAUGCUGACGAGUGGCGAACGGGUGAGUAAUACAUCGGAACGUGCCCGAUCGUGGGGGAUAACGAAGCGAAAGCUUUGCUAAUACCGCAUACGAUCUACGGAUGAAAGCAGGGGACCGCAAGGCCUUGCGCGAACGGAGCGGCCGAUGGCAGAUUAGGUAGUUGGUGGGAUAAAAGCUUACCAAGCCGACGAUCUGUAGCUGGUCUGAGAGGACGACCAGCCGCACUGGGACUGAGACACGGCCCAGACUCCUACGGGAGGCAGCAGUGGGGAAUUUUGGACAAUGGGCGAAAGCCUGAUCCAGCCAUGCCGCGUGCAGGAUGAAGGCCUUCGGGUUGUAAACUGCUUUUGUACGGAACGAAAAGACUCUGGUUAAUACCUGGGGUCCAUGACGGUACCGUAAGAAUAAGCACCGGCUAACUACGUGCCAGCCGCCGCCGUAA
rnacentral:rRNA from 1 species